rnacentral:rRNA from 1 species
UACGAAGGGGGGCUAGCGUUGUUCGGAUUUACUGGGCGUAAAGCGCACGUAGGCGGAUUGUUAAGUUGGGGGUGAAAUCCUGGAGCUCAACUCCAGAACUGCCUUCAAUACUGGCAAUCUCGAGUCCGGAAGAGGUAAGUGGAACUCCUAGUGUAGAGGUGGAAUUCGUAGAUAUUAGGAAGAACACCAGUGGCGAAGGCGGCUUACUGGUCCGGUACUGGCGCUGAGGUGCGAAAGCGUGGGGAGCAAACAGG